rnacentral:rRNA from 1 species
UUGAACGCUGGCGGAAUGCUUUACACAUGCAAGUCGAACGGCAGCACGGGGGCAGCCCUGGUGGCGAGUGGCGAACGGGUGGGUAAUACAUCGGAACGUGCCCGGUCGUGGGGGAUAAAGUAGCGAAAGUUACGCUAAUACCGCAUACGAUCUGAGGAUGAAAGCGGGGGAACUUCGGGCCUCGCGCGAUCGGAGCGGCCGAUGUCAGAUUAGGUAGUUGGUGGGGUAAAGGCCUACCAAGCCGACGAUCUGUAGCUGGUCUGAGAGGACGACCAGCCACACUGGAACUGAGACACGGCCCAGACUCCUACGGGAGGCAGCAGUGGGGAAUUUUGGACAAUGGGCGCAAGCCUGAUCCAGCCAUUCCGCGUGCAGGACGAAGGCCUUCGGGUUGUAAACUGCUUUUGUACGGAACGAAAAGGCUCUGGCUAAUACCUGGGGCUCAUGACGGUACCGUAAGAAUAAGCACCGGCUAACUACGUG